rnacentral:tRNA from 1 species
CAGAUUAUUCUUAGAGUUAAGAUUUUCAUUUACACUGAAAAAUUUAUCGUGCGAUUCGAUGUAAUCUGA